AUCUGAAACUCCUGAUUUAUUGGCUGCUUUUCAGUCUUAAAACUUUGUUUUUGACUUAGACUCCAUUAACAAGAAGAUUGCAUGAACCUAAGUGAUUGAGACACAUGCUACCACUUCAUCUCACCUUGGUCAAUGUUAAAAACUGCAUAAGAAAAGCAUUGAGCAGGUGUUCCUGAUGAAUGAUUCACUGCUUCACUGAGUAUAUAUUAGUGGGAAGAGCACUGCCAAGUUGCUGUCUGAACAAGCCAAGCCAGAUUGCCAGAAACAUAGACAUCGAGCAUCAGAUUAUUUGGUAAUGCGAAGAAUAACCCAAGCUUUAUCUUUCCCAGUGCAAGAAUUAUGCUUUUGUGAGAUAAAGCAGACACCAAUCGAUUGCCGGCAACCGGCAGAGCUGCCCCACUCCACACCUUUGCUUAAAGCAGCUCUCAUUUUUCAAUGCAGAAACACAAGACAGUGGCCCCACGCCCGAUUUUCAAAAGCUUCUCUUUUCUCCCUUCUUUAUUUUGGGGACACCACCAUUACCCCAGCCCAGCCUCCUUUUAACUCCAUCACUCCAUUCCCUUACUCUCGUUGUUGUUGUUCUUCUUCUUGCCCUCUAGCUUGCUUUCCCCAAUCCCCGUUACGCCUCUGCACCCUGAGCUCCUCGUCUUCCUUGUUCAACUUGGUGGUAGUGGUGCUGCAGAAAUGGGCACUCCUUACCACCUCUAAUCACCAAGAACCAUCCUGUCCAGGCUGGUCAACAUGAGGCAGUUACAGCCGGGGCUGCCACCACCGCCAGAGCCUCCGUCCAAGACGACCCGGCAGCAAGAGGUGCUGCCACAGCGGCUACCAGCGGCUCCUUCCAAGAUUAUCCUGCAGCCGCGUGACCGGACCUCGCCGGCGAUGUGGUUCGCGGCCAUCGUCUGCUUUGCCUUCAGCAUCAUCCUGAUCGUGGCUGGCAUGGUCAUCUUGAUCAUCUUCCUGGCGGUCAAGCCAAGGGCACCGUCCUUCGACACGGCCAACGCCAGCCUCAACAGUGUCUACGUCGACUCACCAGCCUACUUCAACGGCGAUAUGACGCUCGUGGCCAACUUCUCCAACCCCAACCAGAAGAUCGACGUUGUGUUCCGGUCCGCCACCGUGGAGCUCUUCUUCCGGGACAGGCCCAUGGCCGUGCAGGUGCUGCCGCCGUUUGCGCAGCGUCGGGGCCAGUUUCAGGUCCUGAACUUGCACAUGGUGUCAAGCCGUGUGCUGCUGCCGCCGGAGGUGGCCAUGGAGCUUGUGAACCAGGUGAGGAGCAACAGGGUCGUGUACACCAUCAGAGGCUCCUUCAAGGUGGAGGCCAGAUUUUGGUUUAGCCACUACUCAUACUGGAUGAACACAGUCUGUGAGGUGGAGCUCACAGCUCCUCCUUGUGGAGUUCUUGUUGCCAGGAGAUGCAGAACAAAGUGACUGACUUCUGAAAUUCCCCAUCCAGUUCUAUUGUUGUAUCAAACCAUAGAUCUUUUUCUUUUGUAUACUGAAAUUGGGCAGGCUAAAGUAAAACGUACUCAUGAUUGAUGUGAAUUUGAUGUUGGUUCAUCUCUGGGUUGAGCUCUUGCUGGCUCAGUUGCCGCUGGAGCCUGAAGGCUACCUGAAGCACAGUAGAAAACUGUAAGAAAGCUGAACAUAGAGUUCAACAAGUGUGUAACUCAUUGCUUCCUUUGAAGCAAUUUAGUGGGUUUUAUCAAAGUAUUA